UCGCCGUAAGGAUAGGACUAGCGGCCUAUCAGCUUGUUCGGUGAGGUAAUGGCCCACCAAGGCUAUAACAGGUACGGGCUCUGAGAGGAGGGGCCCGGAGAUGGGUACUGAGACACGGACCCAGGCCCUAUGGGGCGCAGCAGGCGAGAAACCUUUGCAAUGUGCGAAAGCACGACAAGGUUAAUCCGAGUGUCUCCUGCUAAAGGAGUCUUUUGUCAGUUGUAGAAUCACUGGUGAAUAAGGGGUGGGCAAGUUCUGGUGUCAGCCGCCGCGGUAAAACCAGCACCUCGAGUGGUCAGGAGGUUUAUUGGGCCUAAAGCAUCCGUAGCCGGUUGCAUAAGUUUUCGGUUAAAUCUAUGCGCUUAACGUAUAGGCCGCCGAAAAUACUGUGCAGCUAAGGAGUGGGAGAGGUACACGG
rnacentral:rRNA from 1 species